AGUGAACGCUGGCGGUAGACCUAACACAUGCAAGUCGAACGGCAGCACAGUAAGAGCUUGCUCUUACGGGUGGCGAGUGGAGGACGGGUGAGGAAUACAUCGGAAUCUACUUUUUCGUGGGGGAUAACGUUGGGAAACUUACGGUAAUACCGCAUACGAACUACGGGUGAAAGCAGGGGAUCUUCGGACCUUGCGCGAUUGAUCGAGCCGAUGUCGGAUUAGCUAGUUGGCGGGGUAAAGGCCCACCAAGGCGACGAUCCGUAGCUGGUCUGAGAGGAUGAUCAGCCACACUGGAACUGAGACACGGUCCAGACUCCUACGGGAGGCAGCAGUGGGGAAUAUUGGACAAUGGGCGCAAGCCUGAUCCAGCCAUACCGCGUGGGUGAAGAAGGCCUUCGGGUUGUAAAGCCCUUUUGUUGGGAAAGAAAAGCAGCAGGUUAAUACCCCGCUGUUCUGACGGUACCCAAAGAAUAAGCACCGGCUAACUUCGUG
rnacentral:rRNA from 1 species